GACGUAGGGCGCGAGCGUUGUCCGGAAUUAUUGGGCGUAAAGAGCUCGUAGGCGGUUUGUCGCGUCUGCUGUGAAAACCUAAGGCUCAACCUUGGGCUUGCAGUGGGUACGGGCAGACUAGAGUGCGGUAGGGGUGACUGGAAUUCCUGGUGUAGCGGUGAAAUGCGCAGAUAUCAGGAGGAACACCGGUGGCGAAGGCGGAUCUCUGGGCCGAUACUGACGCUGAGGAGCGAAAGCGUGGGGAGCGAACAGG
rnacentral:rRNA from 1 species